rnacentral:rRNA from 1 species
GAUGAACGCUGGCGGCGUGCCUAAUACAUGCCAGUCGAGCGAACGGACGAGAAGCUUGCUUCUCUGAUGUUAGCGGCGGACGGGUGAGUAACACGUGGAUAACCUACCUAUAAGACUGGGAUAACUUCGGGAAACCGGAGCUAAUACCGGAUAAUAUUUUGAACCGCAUGGUUCAAAAGUGAAAGACGGUCUUGCUGUCACUUAUAGAUGGAUCCGCGCUGCAUUAGCUAGUUGGUAAGGUAACGGCUUACCAAGGCAACGAUGGAUAGCCGACCUGAGGGGGUGAUCCGCCACACUGGAACUGAGACACGGUCCAGACUCCUACGGGAGGCAGCAGUAGGGAAUCUUCCGCAAUGGGCGAAAGCCUGACGGAGCAACGCCGCGUGAGUGCUGAAGGUCUUCGGAUCGUAAAACUCUGUUAUUAGGGAAGAACAUAUGUGUAAGUACCUGUGCACAUCUUGACGGUACCUAAUCAGAAAGCCACGGCUAACUACGUG